GUUUACGGCCAUACCCACCCUGAACACGCCCGAUCUCGUCUGAUCUCGGAAGCUAAGCAGGGUCGGGCCUGGUUAGUACUUGGAUGGGAGACCGCCUGGGAAUACCAGGUGCUGUAAGCU
rnacentral:rRNA from 1 species